GAUCUGCGGCACGGUGUUAGCAGGUUACAUGCGGUGCAGUAUGGUAGUGGAAAAUGCUGCAUCCCUUGUGACCUCCGUACAGAGUGCCAUGUC